CCUACUUUGUUCCGCCGUGCGGCCUCUUGGUCCCUGGCCGCCCGUCUGCUCCAGCCAUGCCGCGUGCAGGAAGACGGCUCUAUGAGUUGUAAACUGCUUUUGUACGGGGGUAAACGCAGAUACGCGUAUCUGUCUGAAAGUAUCGUACGAAUAAGGAUCGGCUAACUCCGUGCCAGCAGCCGCGGUAAUACGGAGGAUUCAAGCGUUAUCCGGAUUUAUUGGGUUUAAAGGGUGCGUAGGCGGUCGGAUAAGUUAGAGGUGAAAUCCCGAGGCUCAACUUCGGAAUUGCCUCUGAUACUGUGCGGCUAGAGAGUAGUAGCGGCAGGCGGAAUGUAUGGUGUAGCGGUGAAAUGCUUAGAGAUCAGACAGAACACCGAUUGCGAAGGCAGCCUACCAAGCUACUGCUGACGUUGAGGCACGAAAGCGUGGGGAGCAAACAGGAUUAGAUACCCUUGUAGUC
rnacentral:rRNA from 1 species